GAGACUCUGUGCGCGUGCAUAUCAAUAAGCGGAGGAAAAGAAACUAACAAGGAUUCCCUUAGUAACGGCGAGUGAAGCGGGAAGAGCUCAAAUUUGAAAUCUUCAAGGUUCUACCUUGACGAAUUGUAGUUUAUAGAAGUGUUUUCUGUUAGUAGAGUGGCAAAAGUUCUUUGGAAUAGGACAUCAUAGAGGGUGAGAAUCCCGUAUUUGGUCAUUCUUUCUAGCUUUGUGAUACACUUUCAACGAGUCGGAUUGUUUGGGAAUGCAGUCCAAAAUGGGUGGUAAAUUUCAUCUAAAGCUAAAUAUUGGCGAGAGACCGAUAGCGAACAAGUACCGUGAGGGAAAGAUGAAAAGAACUUUGAAAAGAGAGUUAAACAGUACGUGAAAUUGUCAAAAGGGAAGCGUUUGACACCAGUGUUGUUUUCUCGAAAAUCAAUUAAAAGUGAUGGGAUUUUGUGUUGUAUUGACUUUAUCAGCUUUCUGCACUUUUUUCUUAUCUUUUUUAAUGCACUUUUCGUUUAACAAGUCAACAUCAAUUUCUUUUGUUGUAAAAGAGUCAUUGGAAGGUGGCUUUUUCUUCGGAAAAAGUGUUUAUAGCCUUUGGCUUCUGCAAUCGGAGAGAUUGAGGUCUGCAGCGUAGAUCCUUCGGGGUUAGAUACAUUUGUGCUAAGCUAUAGUUCUUUAUAGACAGCUUGUUGACUAUAAUCAAUCCUGUAACUUACUCGCUUAUGCUAUUUUACCUACGCUUAGGAUGUUGAAGAUGUAGCACAUCAU
rnacentral:rRNA from 1 species